rnacentral:rRNA from 2 species
GAUUAUUGGGCGUAAGCGCGCGCAGGCGGUUCCUUAAGUCUGAUGUGAAAGCCCCCGGCUCAACCGGGGAGGGUCAUUGGAAACUGGGGAACUUGAGUGCAGAAGAGGAGAGCGGAAUUCCACGUGUAGCGGUGAAAUGCGUAGAGAUGUGGAGGAACACCAGUGGCGAAGGCGGCUCUCUGGUCUGUAACUGACGCUGAGGCGCGAAAGCGUGGGGAGCGAACAGGAUUAGAUACCCUGGUAGUCCACGCCGUAAACGAUGAGUGCUAAGUGUUAGAGGGUUUCCGCCCUUUAGUGCUGCAGCUAACGCAUUAAGCACUCCGCCUGGGGAGUACGGCCGCAAGGCUGAAACUCAAAGGAAUUGACGGGGGCCCGCACAAGCGGUGGAGCAUGUGGUUUAAUUCGAAGCAACGCGAAGAACCUUACCAGGUCUUGACAUCCUCUGACAACGCUAGAGAUAGGGCUUUCCCCUUCGGGGGACAGAGUGACAGGUGGUGCAUGGUUGUCGUCAGCUCGUGUCGUGAGAUGUUGGGUUAAGUCCCGCAACGAGCGCAACCCUUGAUCUUAGUUGCCAGCAUUAAGUUGGGCACUCUAAGGUGACUGCCGGUGACAAACCGGAGGAAGGUGGGGAUGACGUC